rnacentral:rRNA from 1 species
GACGAACGCUGGCGGCGUGCUUAACACAUGCAAGUCGAACGAAGUGGCGAACGGGUGAGUAACGCGUAAUCAACCUGCCCUUCAGCGGGGGACAACAGUAGGAAACGACUGCUAAUACCGCAUACGGAAGGAGGGGAUUGCGUCUGAUUAGCAAGUUGGAGGGGUAACGGCCCACCAAGGCGAUGAUCAGGCGCCGGUCUGGGAGGAUGAACGGCCACAUUGGGACUGAGACACGGCCCAGACUCCUACGGGAGGCAGCAGUGGGGAAUCUUCCGCAAUGGACGAAAGUCUGACGGAGCAACGCUGCGUGAGGGAUGACGGCUUUCGGGUUGUAAAGCUCUGUUUGUCGGGACGCGGUACCGGAAUAGAAAGCCACGGCUAACUACGUGCCAGCAGCCGCGGUAAUAC